rnacentral:rRNA from 1 species
UGAGCUCAAAUCAGGCUGGACUACCCGCUGAACU